CCUAUAGGGAGCCCUAUGACCAAGAUAGUUUUAAGAGAGGUAGAGAGUAAAGUUCUAAGUUCAUUCUGUAAUACUAUGUGGUUUUAUUUAUGCUAUGUAGACAAUAUCUUGAUUGUGUGGGACAGAGGACAAGCUGGAAUUGUUGGCAGAACAACUCUCCAUAGAAUCAUAUGGUCUUAUACUUAAACAACAACAAUUAAGUCACUCUUUGGCACAUUUCUUGGAUAUUAGUUUGAAGGUAAAGAACACAAUAUUAGAUACUUCGGUCUACAGAAAAACCUUCGUAUGAACCCGUUAUUAUCCCUAGAUGGUCUUCAGAUCUGAUAAGAUAUAAAAUUUCAGCCUUUAAUUUUUAUUUUAGAUGAGCCAAUGCAUAUAUCACCAAUCAGCAAGAAAAAGAGGAAGAACUCCAAUAUAUUUAUGAAAUAGGGCAGCAUGGCUAUAGUAGGCAUUUUUUGCAGGGCAUUUAUAAUAAAAUGCAACAGAUCCACACAGACCGAUCAGAAGGGACAUUUCAAAGUAAUCAAGGUUAUGUGCAAAUACCGUAUGCUAUGAAAGGAUAUGACUUUACUAGGAAGUUGGAAAGAAAAAUGCGUAAAAGAGUAGCAUAUAAAAGGCAACGAUCUUUGGCCAACUUAAAAACGAUAAAGAACCUAGGGGGAACAAGCAAACAUCAGGUGUUUAUCAAAUACCAGUUAGGAAUACUAAGACAGGACUAAACAAGAGUAUAUAGGGGUCACGACAAGGACUUUAAAUCAGAGAUUACAGGAGCAUAGGAGAGACAUAACAAAUGCUAAAUUAAAUACGAAUGGCAAUGAAUAUUUAUGACAAACAACUGGAAGUAGAUUGGCAACAGGCCCAAGUAAUAAAAUCAUUGGCAAAAAUGGCACAUGCCACUUUAGUAGAGACUAUGGAAAUUUUUAUGCAGCAGGAAGAACAAGAACUCUUAAAUGA
rnacentral:lncRNA from 1 species